GAUGAACGCUGGCGGCGUGCCUAAUACAUGCAAGUCGAGCGAACGGACGAGAAGCUUGCUUUUCUGAUGUUAGCGGCGGACGGGUGAGUAACACGUGGAUAACCUACCUAUAAGACUGGGAUAACUUCGGGAAACCGGAGCUAAUACCGGAUAAUAUUUUGAACAGCAUGGUUCAAAAGUGAAAGACGGUCUUGCUGUCACUUAUAGAUGGAUCCGCGCUGCAUUAGCUAGUUGGUAAGGUAACGGCUUACCAAGGCAACGAUGCAUAGCCGACCUGAGAGGGUGAUCGGCCACACUGGAACUGAGACACGGUCCAGACUCCUACGGGAGGCAGCAGUAGGGAAUCUUCCGCAAUGGGCCAAAACCUGACGGAGCAACGCCGCGUGAGUGGUGAAGGUCUUCGGAUCGUAAAACUCUGUUAUUAGGGAAGAACAUAUGUGUAAGUAACUGUGCACAUCUUGACGGUACCUAAUCAGAAAGCCACGGCUAACUACGUG
rnacentral:rRNA from 1 species